rnacentral:rRNA from 1 species
UAGUCCAUGCCGUAAACGGUGGGCACUAGAUGUGGGGACUUUCAACGGUCUCCGUGUCGAAGCUAACGCAUUAAGUGCCCCGCCUGGGGAGUACGGCCGCAAGGCUAAAACUCAAAGGAAUUGACGGGGGCCCGCACAAGCGGCGGAGCAUGUUGCUUAAUUCGAGGCAACGCGAAGAACCUUACCAAGUCUUGACAUCCUGUUGACCGUUCCUUAAUAGGAGCUUUCCUUCGGGACAACAGUGACAGGUGGUGCAUGGUUGUCGUCAGCUCGUGUCGUGAGAUGUUGGGUUAAGUCCCGCAACGAGCGCAACCCUUAUCUUUAGUAACCAGCACGUAAUGGUGGGGACUCUAGAGAGACUGCCGGGGAUAACUCGGAGGAAGGUGGGGAUGACGUCAAAUCAUCAUGCCCCUUAUGACUUGGGCUACACACGUGCUACAAUGGCUGUGACAAAGGGAAGCAAGAGGGUGACCUUGAGCAAAUCCCAAAAAAGCAGCCCAGUUCGGAUUGUAGUCUGCAA